CUGAUAGUUAUGUAUGUGGGCGAAAUGAUCCGUUACACUUCCUCGGAUCUUUUGAAAUGUGGUUCUACGAUAAUAUUAUUAUUAUGACGGUUUUCUUCGGCUAUUGCCUGUAUAGACAAACAGCAAGCUCGACAAUUGUUACAAUUCAUUCUGUUUUCAUAUUCUAUUGAUAAUAUUUUUCGCACCUUGCUGUUAGCUACAAGUUAUGUAACUUUAGUUACAAAAUACUGACAAAGUGCUGCACUCUAUACCAUUACGGCUAUGCUCUGUACACAUUGAUUUUGUAUAGCGGUACGGAAUUUUAAUACAAUGAUAGAGGCCGCGCGCUGUGCUUUCCGCAAUUUUCUGUAAUAUUAUAAUCAUUACGAAGACGUAAUACCUAUGCAUGUGUAAUGUAACGUCUCCGUCUUACAAACGUACGACGUAACAAAUGCACGUUCAACAGGGCCAACUUGUACUGUUAGUUUUAAAUGAAUUGGCCUGUUAGGAAACUUAAAGGUAUAAACACUAUAUGUGAGACCACGUAGGUUUUUUCGAUAUUUUGAAACGAACUAUUGGUAUGGGAUAUAUCACAAUAUUUAAAAAUGUUUGCAGGUAUCUCGCUAAAAACUCUUCUUCUUGUCUUCAAACGUUUGAUUAGUUUGCUGCAGUUCACCGCGCUUCCCUUUCUAUACUUGAUUCCUCCAACCCCUUGUAACUACCGUUCGUGUGUGUCUUCUAUGACGCAUUUCGUCAAGCUAUCGUGAAGCAAUAUAUCUAUCAUUUUUUCCCUUUUUGACUUUUAUACUAUGCCAAAGUUUUUUUUUAGAUUCUUCUUCGUUUGUUAGUCUUUUUAUCCAUUUAACUUUAAACAUUUUUCGUUGACAUUACAUUUCAAAAGCCUAGAUUUCGUUUGUUAUCCAUAAAGAUUGUUCAAGUUUCGCAGUCACACUAAUCCACACUCUACGCAUACACUUUCAAGAACUUUUUCCCACCUAGUAAGGUCACACUUUUAGUGGUCAAUAAAUGAUUUUUGCACUGAAAAGCCCUCUUUGCGUGCGUUAUCCUGCUAACUAACGUCUGCGUACUUCAACCAUUUUCUGCUAUUUUACUUCCUAAAUAAUUCGCAGCAAACGAAUGGCGUCCCAACGUAAAAACAUUAUUUUUCUUCCCGUUUUAUACAGACUUAUCGGGACCAUCAAAUGCAACUUAUUACUAUUGGCGGGUUAAAAAUACUGAUUUCGGUCGCUGUUACGCAAUUAAAAGUUUAAAUAAUUUCGCUAUAGAUUAUUGCUCAGUUUUUUUCUGUUAAAUAAUUCAACAGAAUUUUUAAUAUGAUUAUGACCGUGUGCACAUUCU